rnacentral:rRNA from 1 species
UUGUUGGGUAGGGGAGCGUUCUGUAAGCCGUUGAAGGUGGUCUGUGAGGACUGCUGGAGGUAUCAGAAGUGCGAAUGCUGACAUAAGUAACGAUAAAGCGGGUGAAAAGCCCGCUCGCCGGAAGACCAAGGGUUCCUGUCCAACGUUAAUCGGGGCAGGGUGAGUCGACCCCUAAGGCGAGGCCGAAAGGCGUAGUCGAUGGGAAACAGGUUAAUAUUCCUGUACUUGGUGUUACUGCGAAGGGGGGACGGAGAAGGCUAUGUCAUCCGGGCGACGGUUGUCCCGGUUUAAGCGUGCAGGUGUGUGCUCCAGGCAAAUCCGGAGCGCUUUAACACUGAGGCGUGAUGACGAGGCACUACGGUGCUGAAGUGACAGAUGCCCUGCUUCCAGGAAAAGCCUCUAAGCUCCAGGUAACACGAAAUCGUACCCCAAACCGACACAGGUGGUCAGGUAGAGAAUACCAAGGCGCUUGAGAGAACUCGGGUGAAGGAACUAGGCAAAAUGGUGCCGUAACUUCGGGAGAAGGCACGCUGGUGCGUAGGUGAAGUCCCUUGCGGAUGGAGCUGAGACCAGUCGAAGAUACCAGCUGGCUGCAACUGUUUAUUAAAAACACAGCACUGUGCAAACACGAAAGUGGACGUAUACGGUGUGACGCCUGCCCGGUGCCGGAAGGUUAAUUGAUGGGGUCAGCCGUAAGGCGAAGCUCCUGAUCGAAGCCCCGGUAAACGGCGGCCGUAACUAUAACGGUCCUAAGGUAGCGAAAUUCCUUGUCGGGUAAGUUCCGACCUGCACGAAUGGCGUAAUGAUGGCCAGGCUGUCUCCACCCGAGACUCAGUGAAAUUGAACUCGCUGUGAAGAUGCAGUGUACCCGCGGCAAGACGGAAAGACCCCGUGAACCUUUACUAUAGCUUGACACUGAACAUUGAGCCUUGAUGUGUAGGAUAGGUGGGAGGCUUUGAAGCGUGGACGCCAGUCUGCGUGGAGCCGACCUUGAAAUACCACCCUUUAAUGUUUGAUGUUCUAACGUGGACCCGUGAUCCGGGUUGCGGACAGUGUCUGGUGGGUAGUUUGACUGGGGCGGUCUCCUCCUAAAGAGUAACGGAGGAGCACGAAGGUUGGCUAAUCCUGGUCGGACAUCAGGAGGUUAGUGCAAUGGCAUAAGCCAGCUUGACUGCGAGCGUGACGGCGCGAGCAGGUGCGAAAGCAGGUCAUAGUGAUCCGGUGGUUCUGAAUGGAAGGGCCAUCGCUCAACGGAUAAAAGGUACUCCGGGGAUAACAGGCUGAUACCGCCCAAGAGUUCAUAUCGACGGCGGUGUUUGGCACCUCGAUGUCGGCUCAUCACAUCCUGGGGCUGAAGUAGGUCCCAAGGGUAUGGCUGUUCGCCAUUUAAAGUGGUACGCGAGCUGGGUUUAGAACGUCGUGAGACAGUUCGGUCCCUAUCUGCCGUGGGCGCUGGAGAAUUGAGGGGGGCUGCUCCUAGUACGAGAGGACCGGAGUGGACGCAUCACUGGUGUUCGGGUUGUCAUGCCAAUGGCACUGCCCGGUAGCUAAAUGCGGAAGAGAUAAGUGCUGAAAGCAUCUAAGCACGAAACUUGCCCCGAGAUGAGUUCUCCCUGACUCCUUGAGAGUCCUGAAGGAACGUUGAAGACGACGACGUUGAUAGGCCGGGUGUGUAAGCGCAGCGAUGCGUUGAGCUAACCGGUACUAAUGAACCGUGAGGCUUAACC